GCAUCCGUAGCUCAGCUGGAUAGAGCAAUGGUUUCCUAAACCAUAGGUCGGAGGUUCGAGCCCUCUCGGGUGCG
rnacentral:tRNA from 1 species